rnacentral:rRNA from 1 species
UACGAAGGGGGCUAGCGUUGCUCGGAAUCACUGGGCGUAAAGAGCGUGUAGGCGGUUUGGUAGGUCCGCUGUGAAAACUCGAGGCUCAACCUCGAGACGCCGGUGGAAACCAUCAGACUAGAGUCCGGAAGAGGAGAGUGGAAUUCCGUGGUGUAGCGGUGAAAUGCGCAGAUAUCAGGAAGAACACCCGUGGCUAAGGCGGCUCUCUAGUACGGUACUGACGCUGAGACGCGAAAGCGUGGGGAGCGAACAGG